rnacentral:ncRNA from 2 species
CGCUCAUCCAGAGGGGCAGAGGGAAACGGCCCGUUGAAGCCCCGGCAACCCUCCAGUCGGUUCGUCUCGUCCUCCAGCGAGGUCCCCGGCUAGGGAAGGUGCCAAAUCCGUCUCAUGGCGAAAAAUUCGUCAUGGGAAAGAUGAGGA